GGGGGAUAUUGCACAAUGGGGGAAACCCUGAUGCAGCGACGCCGCGUGGAGGAAGAAGGUUUUCGGAUUGUAAACUCCUGUCGUUAGGGACGAUAAUGACGGUACCUAACAAGAAAGCACCGGCUAACUACGUGCCAGCAGCCGCGGUAAAACGUAGGGUGCAAGCGUUGUCCGGAAUUACUGGGUGUAAAGGGAGCGCAGGCGGGAAGACAAGUUGGAAGUGAAAACUAUGGGCUUAACCCAUAAACUGCAUUUGAAACUGUGGUUCUUGAGUGAAGUAGAGGUAAGCGGAAUUCCUAGUGUAGCGGUGAAAUGCGUAGAUAUUAGGAGGAACAUCAGUGGCGAAGGCGGCUUACUGGGCUUUAACUGACGCUGAGGCUCGAAAGCGUGGGGAGCAAACAGGAUUAGAUACCCUGGUAGUCCACGCCGUAAACGAUGAUUACUAGGUGUUGGAGGAUUGACCCCUUCAGUGCCGCAGUUAACACAAUAAGUAAUCCACCUGGGGAGUACGACCGCAAGGUUGAAACUCAAAGGAAUUGACGGGGGCCCGCACAAGCAGUGGAGUAUGUGGUUUAAUUCGAAGCAACGCGAAGAACCUUACCAGGUCUUGACAUCCGAUGCAUAGUGCAGAGAUGCAUGAAGUCCUUCGGGACAUCGAGACAGGUGGUGCAUGGUUGUCGUCAGCUCGUGUCGUGAGAUGUUGGGUUAAGUCCCGCAACGAGCGCAACCCUUAUGGUCAGUUACUACGCAAGAGGACUCUGGCCAGACUGCCGUUGACAAAACGGAGGAAGGUGGGGAUGACGUCAAAUCAUCAUGCCCUUUAUGACCUGGGCUACACACGUACUACAAUGGCGUUAAACAAAGAGAAGCAAGACCGCGAGGUGGAGCAAAACUCAAAAACAACGUCUCAGUUCAGAUUGCAGGCUGCAACUCGCCUGCAUGAAGUCGGAAUUGCUAGUAAUCGCGGAUCAGCAUGCCGCGGUGAAUACGUUCCCG
rnacentral:rRNA from 1 species